AUGCAUUCAUUCCAUUUAUGCCUUCUUUGUGUUGUUGUUGUUGUGGGUUCAUGGAUGUGGUUGUGAUGUGGUGUGAUGUGAUGUGCUAGGUGAUGAUGAAGUGGGGUAUUUGAAAGUGGGGUGCUUCUAUGUUAGUUUUCAAAUAGGUUUCAAAACUCCUCCCUCUCUAUGUUUCUCAAGCUCAAGUUUGACUUACUCGAACCUUGGUUCAAAUGUGUAGAUCUUUUAGAGUGUUUUGUGGUGGAUAUGGUGCUAGGUUAAUUGUGAUUUUAAACUUUGUUUAAGUGGGGUAAAUAAUCACAAGACAUGUUAUUUAUUUCUGUUAUGUAAAUAUUUAAGUGCUCCGGAAAUUCCCUUUUCAUUUUAUUUAAAUAGGUCAUAAUUCCCUUAUGACCAGG
rnacentral:lncRNA from 1 species